GACGAACGCUGGCGGCGUGCUUAACACAUGCAAGUCGAACGGAAAGGCCCUGCUUUUGUGGGGUUCUCGAGUGGCGAACGGGUGAGUAACACGUGAGUAACCUGCCCUUGACUUUGGGAUAACUUCAGGAAACUGGGGCUAAUACCGGAUAGGAGCUCCUGCUGCAUGGUGGGGGUUGGAAAGUUUCGGCGGUUGGGGAUGGACUCGCGGCUUAUCAGCUUGUUGGUGUGGUAGUGGCUUACCAAGGCUUUGACGGGUAGCCGGCCUGAGAGGGUGACCGGCCACAUUGGGACUGAGAUACGGCCCAGACUCCUACGGGAGGCAGCAGUGGGGAAUAUUGCACAAUGGGCGGAAGCCUGAUGCAGCAACGCCGCGUGCGGGAUGACGGCCUUCGGGUUGUAAACCGCUUUCGCCUGUGACGAAGCGUGAGUGACGGUAAUGGGUAAAGAAGCACCGGCUAACUACGUG
rnacentral:rRNA from 1 species